AAUACCACCCUUUAAUGUUUGAUGUUCUAACGUUGACCCGUAAUCCGGGUUGCGGACAGUGUCUGGUGGGUAGUUUGACUGGGGCGGUCUCCUCCUAAAGAGUAACGGAGGAGCACGAAGGUUGGCUAAUCCUGGUCGGACAUCAGGAGGUUAGUGCAAUGGCAUAAGCCAGCUUGACUGCGAGCGUGACGGCGCGAGCAGGUGCGAAAGCAGGUCAUAGUGAUCCGGUGGUUCUGAAUGGAAGGGCCAUCGCUCAACGGAUAAAAGGUACUCCGGGGAUAACAGGCUGAUACCGCCCAAGAGUUCAUAUCGACGGCGGUGUUUGGCACCUCGAUGUCGGCUCAUCACAUCCUGGGGCUGAAGUAGGUCCCAAGGGUAUGGCUGUUCGCCAUUUAAAGUGGUACGCGAGCUGGGUUUAGAACGUCGUGAGACAGUUCGGUCCCUAUCUGCCGUGGGCGCUGGAGAACUGAGGGGGGCUGCUCCUAGUACGAGAGGACCGGAGUGGACGCAUCACUGGUGUUCGGGUUGUCAUGCCAAUGGCACUGCCCGGUAGCUAAAUGCGGAAGAGAUAAGUGCUGAAAGCAUCUAAGCACGAAACUUGCCCCGAGAUGAGUUCUCCCUGACUCCUUGAGAGUCCUGAAGGAACGUUGAAGACGACGACGUUGAUAGGCCGGGUGUGUAAGCGCAGCGAUGCGUUGAGCUAACCGGUACUAAUGAACCGUGAGGCUUAACCUUACAACGCCGAAG
rnacentral:rRNA from 1 species